rnacentral:rRNA from 1 species
UAGGGAAUCUUCCACAAUGGACGCAAGUCUGAUGGAGCAACGCCGCGUGAGUGAAGAAGGUCUUCGGAUCGUAAAACUCUGUUGUUAGAGAAGAACACGAGUGAGAGUAACUGUUCAUUCGAUGACGGUAUCUAACCAGCAAGUCACGGCUAACUACGUGCCAAG